rnacentral:rRNA from 1 species
AUAUAUAUGUUCUUGAAACCCAAAGAAUUUGGCGGUAUUUUAUUUCUGUUUAGAGGAACCUGCCCUGUAAUUGAUAUUCCACGAUGGGUAAUUACUUACUUUUGUUUAACAUUUUGUAUACCUCCGUCAUCAGAGUAUCUUUUUAGAGUAAAUAUUCUAAUUAUACAAAAUAUAAUAUGUCAGGUCAAGGUGCAAUUUAUGAGUAAGUAGAGGUGGGUUACAAUAAAUUUAUUUAUACGGAUUUUUAUUAUUAUUAUUAGAAUGAAGGUGGAUUUAAAAGUAAAAUUAUUUCCUUAAUUAUUUGAUUUUAGCUCUAAAAUAUGCACACAUCGCCCGUCGCUCUUAUUAUAAAUAAGAUAAGUCGUAACAUAGUAGGGGUACCGGAAGGUGUUCCUAGAA